rnacentral:tRNA from 1 species
GGCGCCGUAGCCAAGUGGAUUAAGGCAGUGGAUUGCAAAUCCACCAUUCCCCGGUUCGAAUCCGGGC